CAGAAUUGUAAUUUAAAUUAAAAUAUUAGCAUUGGAAGCUAAAAAUUAGGUAAAACCUAUAUUCUGA
rnacentral:tRNA from 1 species